GACCUUCUGUUUCUGCCAAGGAGGCUUCCAGCGAUUGUUUCUGAGAAGAAGGGUUUAUUAAGGUGAAACAUGGGAUUCAGGAAGACCUCGUAGAAGGAAAGUAAAUUAGGAUUCGUGCUAGGCUGCACUGCCAAAGUUUGAGCAGGACUGCCUCCAUGUGAGCAGUUCUUUUUUUUCCCCCCACACGCCCACAAGCUGCAAUUUCGAUUCUAAUUUCUUGCCCCCAAGUCAUUUUUAGCAUGAACAAUUGCAGGAUAAAAUAGAAGCCAGGUUAUAAGAUUUAACGUACCAGGGCCAGCUGGGACUGUAGUUCAAUCUCCAGACCCUGAACAGUACGUCUCAAUUCAGUGAUUUCAGACUUAUGGCUGGACAUUUGUUCAAUGUUGCUGUCGAUUUCUGUGGUGAGUUCCUUGCUCUAGAGGAUCAAAAAAAAAAAAAAAAAUAGGGAAAAGAUGAGACCAUUUGGGCAUGCUAAGAAAAGCUCCAUGGGCUUCACUAAGAAGGGUGAUUGGCUAGUUUACCUUCUGAUUGAACCACUCUUCAGCAUCCUUGCGAUUCUUUUCUGCAAGUUGUUCGUAUUGGUUUCUCAUGUUGUUCAGCAGCUGAGUCAGGUCAACCCCUGGGGCAGCGUUCAUUUCCACAUUCACAUCACCAGUGGACACAUUUUGAAGGUCUCUCAUUUCCUGUUUGAGGAGCAGUUAGAUUUAAUUAGUGAGUACACCACGACCCAGAUGAGCUUUUUUUUUUUUCUUUAAAAGGGGGGAAUGUAAUUAUGUAAAUUUGUGUCACCUCUUCGUGGUUCUUCUUUAGGUAGGCCAGCUCUUCGUUCAGACUUUCGAUCUGCAUUUCCAGGUCAGACUUGCUAAGGGUCAGCUCAUCCAGUACCCUGCGCAGGCCAUUGAUGUCGGCCUCCACGCUCUGGCGCAGGGUCACCUCAUUCUCGUAUCUGAAGCAAGCAAGAUACAAACACUGAAUAUACAGGAGGAUGACGGUAUACCUGGAUAUACACGGACUACAGUGCAGAUACAGAUUUGGUUUCAUGUCAUGGCAACAUUCAUAAUACACGAAUUCAUGUAGGAAUAUUAAUUAAUAUAGUUUGAUUUGAAGAAAGCUGUCACUUUAAAACACACCCUCCUUUAACGAUUGCCCAAAAGAUAUGACAAUU
rnacentral:lncRNA from 1 species